GGUCACUAUACCGUGAUGCAUUGCGAUUAUUCCAAUUAAUUAUAUAUUAUUGAUUUUCCACGAGCGGGCGCUCAUUGUUCGCUUGACCUUCACUAUGAAAACAACAUGAGUGAGAAAUAUAGAAAUAUGGCGGAUUUUGUAAAGCCGACCACCGCCAUAAAGCUUCAGUUUUGGAAGGACACGAUCUUCUUUUUGUUCAUUGUGUAUCGUCAGAGCCUACGCUGUUGGUUCCUAUGGGUUACCGUGUAUUCAGUUUUGAAUGCCGUGAGAUUCACAUCAGUUUUUUGGAUAGUUUGCAUAUCCGAAGAAUCGCUAUUUUAAUUGUCUAUUUGUCUCUAAAAGUUGAUGAAAUAUUCGCCGAUUACAAUAGCCCAGCAUUGAUAGAGAUACAUUCCAGCUGUGCUUUUAGGGUAAGUCGUUUGCUUUAAUCGUUAAAGCGAAUACAAAGGCAAUGUACCUACACAAUGCUUUUUCUAUGAUUCAGAUUUUUAUAGCCAAUGUUGGUAACAAUAUUUGUGCUUUCCGUUUUGAAUAUAUGCAUAUAGAGCUAAAAUAGUUUAAGUUAGAGAAGCUUUGACUGUUCAUUUGGUUUGAUCAUAGAGGUUUGAUUACUUUGGUAUUCUAUUACUAAAGUAAUUUAUUUUAUUAUCCAUUGAAUUGCAUGAGUCACAUUAAUUGCACCAUUUAUUAUUUUACUCUGUCUCAUGCCAGAUUGUUUUACUCUGUCUAAUGGCAGCUGGCCUAUCUGCCCAUGUGUCUAGUUAACCCAUUGAGUCGCACUGUCCCUGCAUGCGCCCUGCUUUAAUAUUGUACUUUGUUAAACUGAAUAUUGUUUUCAUAUGUUGCAGUUCUCUGACCUCAGUGAUCUCGGGCAAGAUGGAACAGGACAAUCUAUUAUCUUUGAGAAUGUUAUUUUGUGGGAUUUCGAUAUUCUGCCAUCCCCACCUUCUCAAACAAUUCAACCUCGAGAUCCAGAUACUGUUAAUGAAGAGUUGGACAGUGUGCUGUCACCAAUAAAUUUACAAGGGCAAACUGGAUGUAACUGUGAUCUACAACCAAUAAAUUUACAAGGGCAAACUGGAUGUAACUGUGAUCUACAACCAAUAAAUUUACAAGGGUAAACUGGAUGUAGCUGUGAUCUACAACCAAUAAAUUUACAAGGGCAAACUGGAUGUAACUGUGAUCUACAACCAAUAAAUUCACAAGGGCAAACUGGAUGUAACUGCGAUCUACAACCAAUAAAUUCUGUGUGCUUGGUGGAUAUUACUCUACAGUACAGCAUUGUUGAUUGUGAAAAGUGGACCAUGGGACAGAGAUGAUCCAAGAAACAAUUAUAACAGUGACAUAGAUUACUAGAAUAUUGUAAAUUAUUUUAUUUUAUUAUGGGUCCCUACAUAUUUAUUUUAUUAUGGAUCCCUACAUUGUAAAUUGUGAUGUUAUUCUGAGUGUGCAUGCACAUCGGGCAAGCUGAAAAGUUUGCCUGACCACGGUGGGAAUCGAACCUGCGAUCUUUGGGAUAUUAGUCCAAUGCUCUACCAACUGAGCUUGGCUCGGUGUGAAUGCACACUCAGAGUAACAUCACAAACAUCAUAUUCACCUGAGUACAUAACACCAACACACACAAGAAGUAUAUUGUAAAUUGUUUUUAUUUUAUUAUGGAUCCCUACAUAUUUUAUCAUGGAUCCCUACAAUUAUAACGGUGACAUAGAUUACUAUAUAGGAUAUUGUAAAUUGUUAUUAUUAUAUUUUAUUAUGGACAAAAUUUUUCCAUAACUAGAUCAAAGCUUUAUUUUCCUCAAAGGUCCAUAUUUUAUGGUUUUUCACUGGUGACUUCUUUGAAGGAGUCAGCCUGAUCUUUCUGCUAGGAAACUACAAAAAAGUAUGUCAUUCACUAAAAUGGAAAUUGAGUCACAGAUGACAUAUGAAUCAUGCAUGAAUGUUUAUACACUGCAGAAUAAUGUUACACAGAGGUGUUACACUGAAUAUACAAACAGGGAUGGAUUUACUGGGGAGGGGGGUGCACACCCCCCCUAGCCCUAGCCAGAGGGGGGUGCUAUUUUUCAUGAUAAAGCAAAAAAGACCAAAUGAGAUACAGUAAUUUGAGUAAUAACAUGAUGAUAAGUGAACUGGGAACAACAAUUACAAUUCAAAUACAGUAGUUGAUGGGCGGGCGGCACACGUGACCGACACAAGUCGGCACCAGAGCACCCCCCCCCUCUACCAGAUCAUGCUGGAUCCAUCCCUGUAUACAAAGACAAUUUAAAGAAUAGAAUAGCAAAGAAUAACAAAGUUUUAAGUACAAUUUCGUCUACCAUAAUUGUUUUUAUUAUACCUUCGCUGAUGUGCCAGGACUUUGAAUGGGCCAUUCAAUUUAAUAUAUUAAGCUGCCUCCCCCUCCCUGUUGAGGGGUCUGGAUAUCCUAUGGGGGGGAGGGGGUUUUUACCUUAAAUUUUCCUAGAGGGUAGCUUAAGAAAUUUUCAAAAAAUAGCAAAAAUUAGGUGUUUUACUAUCCAAAAACGAUAUCCUAAAGGGGGUAUAUGAAGAUAUCCAUGGGGUAACUUCCAAAAAUCACAUCCAAGGGGGUUCUAUAAAGGGACCCCUCAAUAGGUUGAAGGGACCCCUCAAUAGGGGGGGGGGGGUGCCUAUAUUAAAUGGAAUGGCCCAUUAUAUGAACCAAAGCUGGACUGAAUGAACUUUCCACACGAGAUAUAGUCUUCAGGUUUUUCUUGUUGGUUUUUCUGGCGUAUCAGUAAUUUGAGUUUCCUCAUUUUCUAAAUCAUGAUCAACAAUAACAACAUCGCCAUCAUUAAUAGAUUCCAUUUUUUGCUCCAAUUAAUAAACUCGAAUUCUAUAAAAAAAUGAUACAAUCAGGAACAAUAUGUUAGAAAAGCUGGCUUGUUUACGUCGCGCUCGCGCCAUAUUUCCUGUAGAGUCCUCUUUUCCCGCGAUUGGCGACAACAAAAGCAAAAUACCCCAUUUUCAAACAACGAUUACUCGUCGGUUUCAGGGGCCUUUUUAUGUUUUAAAGUACCAAGAGAAAGAGUAACCCUUACUGAAUACAAUGAUGUGAAUUUUAUUGAAUUUCCCGAUUUAUAAACCAUUUAGCCCCCUGCGUAUAUCAAAGCCGUUUUCGUGUCGUGUGCACUAUACCCGAAAUAUACCCCAUUUUCAAACCGCGAUAACUCGUCGGUUGGAGGAGGUUGUUAAUGUUUUAAAGUAUCAGCUAAAACCUUGACCUUUCCGAAUUCAAUGAUGUGAAUUUUGCUGAAUUUCCCGAUUUAUAAAGUAUUUAACCCCUGGCGUAUAUCAAUGCCAUCUCUUUUAUAGCACCGAAAUAUACCCCAUUUUCAAACCGCGAUAACUCGUCAGUUCGAGGGGAUUUUUUGUGUUUUGAAGUAUCCAUAGAAAGAAUAACCCUUCCUGCAUUCGAUGCUGUAAAUGUUGUUGAAUUUCCUGAUUUAAAAAGCAUUUAAUCCCCAGCGAAUAUCAAAGCCACUUUUGUGACAUGUGCACUGACCCGAAACCAAGGGUAAUUCAAUGCGUGAUUAACAUAACUGAAACAUGAUACGACAACCACAUAAACAAAAAUCGUGCAUUUAAGGUCACAAAUAAAACAAUUAUAAAAACGUACCUUCCAAAAAUCAAAAUUUUCAGAGUGAAAAAUCGCGAUAAACAACCACAAUUUUUCGACAAACAUCUUUCAAAGACUCGCAAAAUUCAAUUCCGAAUAUUAAUGAGAAGCGAUGCAUUGUGGUAUAGUGACCACUCCUCCUCUGGG